CUUUACCAACACCAAGCAGUGUGUAGCAGCUCGCAGCCGCGGGCGUUUCCAGGGCUGUGGCAUCGACAUAUGCCUGUGGCCAUGGCGUAGCCUGAGCCACGCGCUCGACCUGCGCAUCUUCUUCUGGGUGCGGCUCUACCUCGACAGCAUCCCCAUACACGCCUGCACACAGGACAUCAUCGAGAGGAUCAUCGGCACGCAAUGCGCACACCAG
rnacentral:lncRNA from 1 species